UCAGAGCCUAGAUACAGAAAGAAGUAUGAAGAGAAAUACUGUGUCUAAAAAAUAAAUGAGUGAAGUCAAGUGCAAUUUACGUAAAAUACUAUGGUGCAGCACAUGCUUGUUUGGGGCUAACUCAGAACUGUGAAUUUCUGCUGCCAGAGGACACACUUUGGAAGUUGGAGUUAACUGGUAAGAGAGUUAACCCUCAGUUAGAAGCGUACAUGCUGCUGAUCUUUAAAAUGGAAAAUUGCAGAAUAUUCUUUAAUGUUCACUUAAGAAGCAGCUUUUUCUUCUUUAACAGAUCCUAGCCUUACAAACCUCAGUGAUACAUUUAUUUGUCUUGGUGAUAAUUUUGUGAAUUGACUCUAUAAAUCUUUAUUGAACACCCUCUAAGUUUCAGGUACUUGAAAUAUAGCUGUGAGCAAAACAAAGAUCCUUCAUGGAGAUUUUCUCCUACUGAGAGACAUUUCUGUAUUUUUCCUUCCUUCCUUCCUUCCUUCCUCUUUCUUCUCUUUCUUUUUUCCCUACUUUGGUUUGUCCUUAAGUAGGGCAAACAUCUCUUUCAGAGUCUAGUAUCUAGUAAAUGAUCACACCUAGCUUUAUGCCAGCUUUGGAGCUUGGAAGUGAGUAGAUAGUUCAGUCUUGCUCUGCACAUUAACUUAGCUCCAGGUCAGGGUACCAGAGAUUAAGAAACCCUAGUUUUGAACCUGGUCUCCUUUAUAUUUUCUUAUCUAGUUUUACCAGAACUAAUGCUCAUACUCUGUUUUAAUAGCCAUCUUAUAUUUAUUUCCCAAUUCAUUAGGAUUUUGGAAGGAAAAUGGAUCAUCAUUAACUAAUGUAGCCCGUUCCCAUUGUGCUCCACUUUCUUCUGGAAAAUAUUAGGCAAAUUAUAUUUAUAUUUCAGAGGGUCAGGGUUU
rnacentral:lncRNA from 1 species